CCCUUAGAUGUUCUGGGCUGCACGCGCGCUACACUGAUGCGCUCAACGAGUUUUAACCUUGCCUGGAAAGGUUGGGUAAUCUUUUUAAAACGCAUCGUGAUGGGGAUAGAUUAUUGCAAUUAUUAAUCUUCAACGAGGAAUUCCUAGUAAGCGCGAGUCAUCAGCUCGUGCUGAUUACGUCCCUGCCCUUUGUACACACCGCCCGUCGCUCCUACAGAUUGAGUGAUCCGGUGAAUAAUUCGGACUGCGGCAUUGACCGGUUCCCGAUCGUUGCUGCGGAAAGUUUAGUGAACCUUAUCACUUAGAGGAAGGAGAAGUCGUAACA
rnacentral:rRNA from 1 species